rnacentral:rRNA from 1 species
GUGGGGAAUCUUGGACAAUGGGGGAAACCCUGAUCCAGCCAUGCCGCGUGAUCGAUGAAGGCCUUAGGGUUGUAAAGAUCUUUCAGCUGGGAAGAUAAUGACUGUACCAGCAGAAGAAGCCCCGGCUAACUCCGUGCCAGCAGCCGCGGUAAUACGGAGGGGGCUAGCGUUGUUCGGAAUUACUGGGCGUAAAGCGCACGUAGGCGGAUCAGUCAGUCAGGGGUGAAAUCCCGGGGCUCAACCCCGGAACUGCCUUUGAUACUGCUGGUCUUGAGGUCGAGAGAGGUGAGUGGAAUUCCGAGUGUAGAGGUGAAAUUCGUAGAUAUUCGGAGGAACACCAGUGGCGAAGGCGGCUCACUGGCUCGAUACUGACGCUGAGGUGCGAAAGCGUGGGGAGCAA